GAGAGUAUAGCUCAAGUGGUAGAGCGGAUGCUUAACAUGCACGAGGUCCUGGGUUCAAUCCCCAGUACCUCCU
rnacentral:tRNA from 1 species